rnacentral:misc_RNA from 1 species
AUUUUUCUUUUCAUAUUUCAGGAGAAAUGGUGAUGGAAUUCAAUAGAACUACGUUGUCAAAUGAAAAAGAUACGGGGCAGAGGAUGAGACAAACAAAGAC